rnacentral:rRNA from 1 species
UACGAAGGGGGCUAGCGUUGCUCGGAAUUACUGGGCGUAAAGCGCACGUAGGCGGUUUCUUAAGUCGGGGGUGAAAUCCUGGAGCUCAACUCCAGAACUGCCUUCGAUACUGGGAAACUUGAGUCCGGGAGAGGUGAGUGGAACUGCGAGUGUAGAGGUGAAAUUCGUAGAUAUUCGCAAGAACACCAGUGGCGAAGGCGGCUCACUGGCCCGGUACUGACGCUGAGGUGCGAAAGCGUGGGGAGCAAACAGG